rnacentral:rRNA from 1 species
GAUGAACGCUGGCGGCGUGCCUAAUACAUGCAAGUCGAGCGAACGGACGAGAAGCUUGCUUCUCUGAUGUUAGCGGCUGACGGGCGAGUAACACGUGGAUAACCUACCUAUAAGACUGGGAUAACUUCGGGAAACCGGAGCUAAUACCGGAUGAUAUUUUGAACCGCAUGGUUCAAAAGUGAAUGACGGUCUUGCUGUCUCUUAUAGAUGGAUCCGCGCUGCAUUAGCUAGUUGGUAAGGUAACGGCUUACCAAGGCAACGAUGCAUAGCCGACCUGAGAGGAUGAUCGGCCACACUGGAACUGAGACACGGUCCAGACUCCUACGGGAGGCAGCAGUAGGGAAUCUUCCGCAAUGGGCGAAAGCCUGACGGAGCAACGCCGCGUGAGUGAUGAAGGUCUUCGGAUCGUAAAGCUCUGUUAUUAGGGAAGAACAUAUGUGUAAGUAACUGUGCACAUCUUGACGGUACCUAAUCAGAAAGCCACGGCUAACUACGUG